CAGCAGUAGCCGCGGUAAUACGUAGGGUGCAAGCGUUAAUCGGAAUUACUGGGCGUAAAGCGUGCGUAGGCGGUGAGUUAAGUCUGCUGUGAAAUCCCCGGGCUCAACCUGGGAAUGGCAGUGGAUACUGGCUCGCUAGAGUGUGUCAGAGGAUGGUGGAAUUCCCGGUGUAGCGGUGAAAUGCGUAGAGAUCGGGAGGAACAUCAGUGGCGAAGGCGGCCAUCUGGGACAACACUGACGCUGAGGCACGAAAGCGUGGGGAGCAAACAGGAUUAGAUACCCCGGUAGUCCCUGUCUCUUAUAU
rnacentral:rRNA from 1 species